GUCGGCGGCCAGAGCGCGGGGGAGACACCCGAUCCCAUCCCGAACUCGGAAGUUAAGCCCCGCUGCGCGGAUGGUACUGCCGGGGCCACCCGGUGGGAGAGUACGGCACCGCCGACC
rnacentral:rRNA from 1 species